UAGGAGGACCAGGUCUAUGCCUGUGUACUUGCACACUCAUUUGUGAGUUGGAUCAUGGAUCAUGGCAGGUUUGGGAACAGUAAGUACUUUGCAAGCGCGCUACAUCCCAGACUUGACUCAGCUAUUUGUAAGAGUAAAUCAGUAAUGGUCCCAUAAGAAGGGCAAGCAAGUUCGUAACAGGAGUUUGAGAUGGGGAAAGGAGAUGAGCGGAAGAACAUUUAUUCCCAAAAUAAAGCAUUACAUUCAUCUUGAA